UAUAUAUAUAAUUCUUUUAAAAGAGUGGUGGAUAUAUUAGUGAUUGAAGUGAUAUUGACUGAAGUGAUACUUAUCAAAUUUCCACCUUUCAUAGGAAUUCGAGUUUUAUCUUUUUGUUGUAACAUAUUUCGAUUUCUUUUUUGGUUUAAUCAGAUUUUGUAUUUAGCAGUGGCUAUUUUGUAUUGUUUCGAUCCGGAACUGAUCAGUUUCUUCAUGGUCUUAUAUCUUUAUCAGGUCGAUUGUAAUAAAAGUUCGAUCUUGGAUCAGUUUCUCGAAGAGACUCUCGGUGAAUCAAAUCAAUCCCAGCCAACCUUUAAUCAAACGAAAGCACCAACCUUUGCAGGGCAAUAUUAACAAAGAGAGUAAAGUGAAAAUAUCUGCAUUAACAUUAAUAUGUGUAUAAUGUUCACUACAAGUGUU
rnacentral:lncRNA from 1 species